rnacentral:rRNA from 1 species
GACGAACGCUGGCGGCGUGCUUAACACAUGCAAGUCGAACGGAAAGGCCCUGCUUUUGUGGGGUGCUCGAGUGGCGAACGGGUGAGUAACACGUGAGUAACCUGCCCUUGACUUUGGGAUAACUUCAGGAAACUGGGGCUAAUACCGGAUAGGAGCUCCUGCUGCAUGGUGGGGGUUGGAAAGUUUCGGCGGUUGGGGAUGGACUCGCGGCUUAUCAGCUUGUUGGUGGGGUAGUGGCUUACCAAGGCUUUGACGGGUAGCCGGCCUGAGAGGGUGACCGGCCACAUUGGGACUGAGAUAGGGCCCAGACUCCUACGGGAGGUAGCAGUGGGGAAUAUUGCACAAUGGGCGGAAGCCUGAUGCAGCAACGCCGCGUGCGGGAUGACGGCCUUCGGGUUGUAAACCGCUUUCGCCUGUGACGAAGCGUGAGUGACGGUAAUGGGUAAAGAAGCACCGGCUAACUACGUG